rnacentral:rRNA from 1 species
GUCCACGCCCUAAACGAUGAUUACUCGAUCUGUGCGAUACACUGUACGGGUCUAUGCAAAGCAUUAAGUAAUCCACCUGGGGAGUACGACCGCAAGGUUGAAACUCAAAGGAAUUGACGGGGUCCGCACAAGCGGUGGAGCAUGUGGUUCAAUUCGAUGGUACGUGAGGAACCUUACCUGGGCUAGAAUGCAUUCAGACCGAUGCCGAAAGGUGUCUUUCCCGCAAGGGACUGUUUGCAAGGUGCUGCAUGGCUGUCGU